UACGGGGGGGGGCAAGCGUUGUUCGGAAUUACUGGGCGUAAAGGGCUUGUAGGCGGCCAACUAAGUCCGACGUGAAAUCCCCAGGCUUAACCUGGGAACUGCGUCGGAUACUGGAUGGCUUGAAUUCGGGAGAGGGAUGCAGAAUUCCAGGUGUAGCGGUGAAAUGCGUAGAUAUCGGGAGGAAUACCAGUGGCGCAAGCGGCGCCCUGGCCGUGACCUGACACUGAGCCACGACGGCGUGGGGAGCAAACGGG
rnacentral:rRNA from 1 species